AGAAGGUGAGAGUUUGUUAUGGGCCAGAACUCUGAACUUGAAAUAAAGGAUUCUUACAAGGUACUAAAAGUCAGUGGAAUUGCUAGAGACUAAUUUAUCUAAUUUACAUGGUUCAGUAUGAUUGAUUUAAUUCUACAAGGAGAUGUUAUGGGCCAGAACUUGAAACAAGGUACUUAGUGGAAUUACUAAGUGGAAUUGAAGAGACAAUGGUUAAAUCUAGUUUAGCGUUGAUUUAAUCCUAUAACAAAUAAUGGUUUCCCAGUGAUAUAAUGAUUGGUAUAUACUCAGUGUGGAGAAUAUAAGCUAGAAGCUAUCAGGGCCAGAAAAAAACAGGCACAUUAGAAGCUCUCGGAGGCCCAGACAGAUUCAUUCCAUUAUCCACCUUUGUGGUGGCUAGAGGCUGAAGCACAAACCUUUGGAUUAGGAGAGACAUCUGGAAAGAAGGCAAAGUACUGGCAGCAGGAGCUUAAGCUCUCAGAACUAAGGGGAGAAAUUCAAUUCGAUCUUCAAUCUUCCUGGUGGCUGGCCUGGACUCCUGCACUUCCCCCACUAAGAACAAGGCCAGAUUGAAAGGUUCUCCAGAAAGCUGUCAAGCCUCAGGAAGAAUAAUAAAGGAUCUGGAUUAUAAGAAAGCUAACCAGGCCCCAAGAAAGGAGACAACACUUUGAAAGAGAUAAUAAAUGACUUGGACUUUAACACCUGGCUGCACUUGUGGUGAUUAUGGAACUGAAAUGAAGGCUGCUCCCAGAGACCCCAAGGAAACAGAAACAGAGAACUUUACAAGAGUGUCAUUGUUUUAAUCUAAUCAGUCCAUUAAUAAACAUUUAUCAAGUACUAAUCAUGUGCUGGACUUUGUGUCAGAUAUUAGGAAGAUACACAAAAUACACAAAAUGGAACAAUUUGAAGGUAUUUAUAUUCUAGCACAGGAAACAAUAUGUGCAUAUGUAAGUAUAUACAAUACCCAAGUAGAAACAUUACAAAUAGAGUAUCAUGUUCGUGUCAGAAUGUUAUAAAAUAAGAACACUGAUACCCUAGAAAGCAUCCAAAGGAUAGUUAGGGGUCAUAUGAGGAUUGGUUGAAGAAAAAGAGAUUGUUUAGCUUAGAAAAAAGAAGACUGGCAAGGAUAGAAUCAUUCAUCUAAGUCAAAACUAUUAAAAGAUUUGGGGACAAUUCAUCAUUUUAUUUUAAGACAUUUUCUUUAUUCCAGCUUAAAACAAAAACCAAAAAAAUCUCUGCAAGUUUCAAACUCUGUUGACAAAUUAUUCUAACUUCUAGAGAAAUCUGGAAUUUUCUAUAAAUUCAACAUAAGAAAAAGACCAAUAUAAAUUAUUAGGUUGUACAAAAAAAUUCUUUAAGAUAGGAGAAAAAAAUUAUGAAAAAUCCAGAUAAAGAAAUAUAGAAAUAUUGAGUGACCAUUCCUGAAAUGUUUAAGCAUAAGUCAGAGACAAUAUUAAAUGGUGUAAUAUGAAUAAUUCUCUAUUUAGUUUUGAUAGCUGAUUGGGUUAUUAGUUGUACGUGCAACAUAUUUAUAUAAAUAUGUGUAUUUUUAUUAUUACUGUCUUCCUAAAUUUUACAAAAAGAAGUAACAUUGCAGGUUGGGGUAUCUGCUUUUUAAAGCCAUUCAAUGUUUUGUACGAAGAAGUGUUUUAUUGUAUUGAAUUUUGAACUUGUAAAGUGGGUACUGAUUUUAUGGUUUAAUUUCAAGUAUUCAGGUUGUUUUUUUCUCAGUAAAUGGUUCACACAAUACAAUAUACUUAGCAAUGAACUUUUAAAAAAAGUGAUGACAAAUGGGAGAAGAAGUAAGAAAAGGUCAUUGGGCUGGUGGAUGUCUUGAUAGUGUCUUCAUAUUUCUGAAGAACAAUAUCUAAAAGAGAGUGCAGACUGCUUCAAUUUGCUUCUAAAGGUAGAGCUAUAAAGGAGGAAAAGGAAGUUGCAAAGAGACAAAUGUACACAAUAUAUCAAUAAGAACUACCCAAAAUAGAAAGAGGUUGCUUUAUCAAGUAGUGAAUUCCUCUUUACCAGAAGUCAAAACGUAAAAACCAACUCUUUGUUGAGUAUGGAUUGGACCAUAUGGCUGAAGAGGUCCCUUCCAAACUUGAAAUUCUCUGGUUCUGUAUAUUACAGGUGCUAUUUUUGUCCUUAAUUGCAGGAAUGAAUAUAAAACUUGUUUACCCUAAAUUAUUUUUGCUAAAUUUUAUCUUGAAAUCUGAUGCCUCAAAAGAUUAAAAAAAAAAAAAAACAGAAGUAAAAGUACAAAUGCACAUAUUCAGUAAUAUUCUAUAUUUAAUUAUGUUCCCACAUUUAAAACAAGUAGUUAUAUUAGUUGAGACAGUGUAGAAUUGUCAAUGCUGAUAAGCCUUUUUUUUUUUUUUAUCUUUCUUCUUCUUUCUUUCUUUCUUUCUUUAUUUUGAAAUUAAAAAAAAAAAACUUUUAUUGACAGAGCCCCAUGCCUGGUAAUUUUUUUUUUUUUACAACAUUAUCCCUUGCACUCACUUUUGUUCUGACUUUUCCCCUCCCUCCCUUCACCCCCUUCCCCAGAUGGCAAGCAGUCCUAUACAAGUUAAAUAUGUCACAGUGUAUCCUAGAUACAAUAUAUGUGUACAGAACUGAAUAGUUCUCUUGUUGCACAGGAAAAAUUAGAUUCAGAAGAUAACCUGGGAAGAAAGACAAAAAUGCAAGCAGUUUACAUUCAUUUCCCAGUGUUCUUUCUUUGGGUGUAGCUGCUUCUGUCCAUCCUUGAUCAACUGAAAUUGAGUUAGAUCUUCUUUUUGUCAAAGAAAUCCACUUCCAUCAGAAUACAUCCUAAUAUAGUAUCGUUGUUGAGGUAUAUAAUGAUCUCCUGGUUCUGCUCAUUUCACUUAGCAUCAGUUCAUGUAAGUCUCGCCAAUGCUCUCUGUAUUCAUCCUGCUAGUCAUUUCUUACAGAACAAUAAUAUUCCAUAACGUUCAUAUAGCACAAUUUACUCAACCAUUCUCCAAUUGAUGGGCAUCCAUUCAUUUUCCAGCUUCUAGCCACUACAAACAGGGCUGCCACAAACAUUUUGGCACAUACAGGUCCCUUUCCCUUCUUUAGUAUCUCUUUGGGGUAUAAGCCUAAGAUAUAUUUCUAUACCCAACUGAGUGUGUAUAUAAUUUCCUCUUUGAGCCAAUUCUGAUGAGAUUAAAGUUCAUUCACUCUUCUCCACUGUGAAGGCUUUUUCUUGACCCAUUUUGACAGAUAAUUUACAUUAUUUCCAUGUCCCCCUUUUCUCUUCUCCCAGUAUAUUACAAUCUCCUUAAUUCUAUUUUUGAAAGAUAUUAUCCCUUCAUGUUCAACUCACACCUGUGUCCUCUGUCUAUAUAUUACUUUUUCUAACUACCCUAAUAAUGAAAAAGUUCUUAUGAAUUACAAAUAUCAUCUUUCUAUAUAGGAACGCAAACAUUUUAACUUAUUAAAUCUUUUAUGAUUUCUCUUUCCUGAUAACCUCCUUAUGCGUCUCUUUUUUGAAAGUAAAAUUUACUAUUUUUCAUUUUUUGCUGCUUGAAAAUCCUCUAAGAUCCAUCUUUUCCCCUGAGGGAUUACACUCAGUUUUUCUGGGUCACUGAAUUUUGGUUGUAAUUAUAGCUCCCUUGCUCUUUGGAAUAUCAUAUUCUAAGCCCUUCAAUUCUUUAAUGCAUUAGCUGCUAAAUUUUGUGUUAUACUGACUGUGGCUCCAUCGUACUUAAAUUGCUUCUUUCUGGAUGCUUGUGAUAUUUUCUCCUUGACCUGGGAGAAUCCUGAAUUCCUGGGAAUUUUUACUUUGGGAUCUCCUUUUAGGAAGAUAUAAGCAGAUUCUUUCAAUUUCUAUUUUAAUCUUUGCUUCUAAAAUAUCAGGACACUUUUCCUUAACAAUUUCUUUAAAGAUGAUGUUUAGGCUCCUUUUUUUGAUCAUGGCUUAUAUAGAAUAAUUAUCUCUCUUGGAGCUAUUUUACCAGUCAGAUGUUUUUCCAUUGAGAUAUUUCACAUUGUUUUCCAUUCGUUCUUUUCAAUCUUUUGGUUUUACUUAAUUGUUUCUUAAUUUCUCAUAAAGUCAAUAGUUCCAUUUGUUCAAUUCUAAUUUUUAAUAAAUUAUGUUCCCCCUGAUUGGAUACCUACCUGUUGGGGAAUGGCUAAAUAAGCUAUGACACAUGAGUGUUAUGGAAUAUUAUUAUUCUAUAAGAAAUGAUUAACAGAAUGAUUUCAGAGGGGCCUGUAGAGACUUACACUAACUGACACUAAGUGAAGUGAGCAGAAUCAGGAGAUCAUUAUACAUAGCAACAAGACUAUGUAAUAAUCAACUGUGAUGGACUUGGCUCUUUUCAACAAUGAGAUAAUUCAGACCAAUUCCAACAGACUUGUGAUGGAGAAAACCAUCUAAAUCCAGAAAGAAGAUUGUGGGGACUGAAGGUGGAUCAUAACAGUAUUUUCAUCUUUGUUGUUUGCUUUUUUUUCUUUCUCAUUUUUUCCCUUUUUGAUCUCUUUUCUCUUGUGCAGCAUGAUAAAUAUUGAAAUAUAUUGAGAACUGUAAAUGUUUAACCUCUAUUAUUUGCUAUCUAUGGGAGGAAGGUAAAAAGGAAAAAAUUAAUUUUUAUUUACUUUCUCCUUAAAAAAAAUUAUUUUUCCCACUGAGUUUUUGUACCUCCUUUUCAAUUUUGCUUUGUAAGACAUUCUUCUCCUUAUUGGCUUUUUGUACUUCCUUUUACAUCACUAUCAUUUCUUUCUCCAAUUUUUUUUCUACUUAUAUUACUUGAUUUUCAAAUUCCUUCUGAGCUCUUUCACGGUCUGAGAUCAAUUUUUAUUUUUCUUGGAGGCUUUGGAAGUAUAAACUUUGACUUUAUCAUCUUCUUCUGAGUAUGUGUUUUAUUUUCUUUGUCACCACAGUAACUUUCUAUGGUCAGAAUAUUUUUCUGUUGUUUAUUCAUUUCCCCAGCUUAUUACUUUUCUCUUCUCUAGGAAUAGUUUGAUGGGCACUCUCGAUUUGGGAAGAACAGAUUUCAGAGGAAGGUUAGGUAGGUAGGAGCCCAAAUGGAUCAAAAUUCUAGAGAGAAAAUCAGAUUAUGAGGAAUGGAAAGCUUUUGAAAAAGAAAUUCUGAAGAAACAAAACAAUUCUUAUGAUGAUCUACUAAAAGAAAAAAAGGAAAAUUUUCUAAAGAGACUAAUCUAAAUAUAUAGGGAAUAAAAAAAUUGAUUUUAAAAUCUGAAAGCAAAGAUAGGUUGAAAGCAAUAAAUAAAAAGAUCAGACAUGAUCUUGUAAGAACUGUGUUAGCUGGAUAGAGCACCAGCCCUGAAAUCAGGCCUCAGACACUUAACACUUCCUAGUUGUGUGAUCCUGGACAAGUCACUUAACCCAAUUACUUCAGGGAAAGUAAAAAAAAAAAAAAACCAGUGUUAGUACUGGGCUCCCAAUGAACUAAAUGAGGAAAAUCAAAGACAAGAAAAAUUAUUUUCUCAGCUAUACUGGAGAAAGAAGAAAAUCAGGAUGGGCCCUUGUUUAGGGUGAAUAAAGACUGCCCUAAAAAUAACAGAAUACAGUUUCUUUGCCAAAGAGAAUGUCCUUUGGAAUAGAAAGAACAGAAAAAAUGUGGUCAAAAGAAAUGUGAUACCUAAAGUAAAAUAAGGAGACAGUAGAAGAGUAUUCAGCUACCAUUGAUGAGUUCAGGUCACCUGGCCCAAAUGACUGAAUCUGAAAGAACUAAAAGAAUUGGGAAUUCUUAUUGAUGAACUUAUUCAUCUGAUCUUUCAAGGAUCACAGGGAAGACAAAAAAUAACUGUAGAACUAGAGAGGGCAAAUAUCCUGCCUUUUAAAAAAGGGGAAAGGGAAGAGGAUAAUGAAGCUGCAAACUUUAGGCCAGUUAUCCUGACUUUUUUUUUUAGCCAAAUUCUAGAAAAUAGUAUUAAAAGAAGAUUUUUUUUUAAAAUUUUUUAUUUAAUAAUUACAUUAUAUUGACACUCGUUUCUGUUCCGAUUUUUUUUUCCCCUCCCUCCCUCCACCCCCUCCCCUAGAUGGCAAGCAGUCCUUUAUAUGUUGGAUAUGUUGCAGUAUAUCCUAGAUACAAUAUAUGUUUGCAGAACCGAACAGUUCUCUUGUUGCGUAGGGAGAAUUGGAUUCAGAAGGUAUAAAUAAUCCGGGAAGAAAAACAAAAAUGCAGAUAGUUUACAUUCGUUUCCCAGUGUUCUUUCUUUGGGUGUAGCUGCUUUUGUCCGUCAUUUAUCAAUUGAAACUCAGGUCUCUUUGUCAAAGAAAUCCACUUCCAUCAAAAUAUGUCCUCAUACAAUAUCGUUGUCGAAGUGUAUAAUGAUCUCCUGGUUCUGCUCAUUUCACUUAGCAUCAGUUCAUGUAAGUCUCGCCAGUCCUCUCUGUAUUCAUCCUGCUGGUCAUUUCUUACAGAACAAUAAUAUUCCAUAACAUUCAUAUACCACAAUUUACCCAGCCAUUCUCCAAUUGAUGGGCAUCCAUUCAUUUUCCAGUUUCUAGCCACUACAAACAGGGCUGCUACAAACAUUUUGCACAUACAGGUCCCUUUCCCUUCUUUAGUAUUUCUUUGGGAUAUAAGCCCAAUAGAAACACUGCUGGAUCAAAGGGUAUGCACAAUUUGAUAAUUUUUUGGGCAUAAUUCCAGAUUGCUCUCCAGAAUGGUUGGAUUCGUUCACAACUCCACCAACAAUGCAUUAGUGUCCCAGUUUUCCCGCAUCCCCUCCAACAUUCAUCAUUAUUUUUUCCUGUCAUCUUAGCCAAUCUGACAGGUGUGUAGUGGUAUCUCAGAGUUGUCUUAAUUUGCAUUUCUCUGAUCAAUAAUGAUUUGGAACACUCUUUCAUAUGAGUGGUAAUAGUUUCAAUCUCAUCCUCUGAAAAUUGUCUGUUCAUAUCCUUUGACCAUUUAUCAAUUGGAGAAUGGCUUGAUUUCUUAUAAAUUUGAGUCAGUUCUCUAUAUAUUUUGGAAAUGAGGCCUUUAUCAGAACCUUUAACUGUGAAAAUGUUUUCCCAGUUUGUUGCUUCCCUUCUAAUCUUGUUUGCAUUAGUUUUAUUUGUACAAAGGCUUUUUAAUUUGAUGUAAUCGGAAUUUUCUAUUCUGUGAUCAGUAAUGGUCUCUAGUUCAUCUUUGGUCACAAAUUUCUUUCUCCUCCACAAGUCUGAGAGAUAAACUAUUCUAUGUUCCUCUAAUUUAUUUAUAAUCUCGUUCUUUAUGCCUAGGUCAUAGACCCAUUUUGAUCUUAUCUUGGUAUAUGGUGUUAAGUGUGGGUCCAUGCCUAAUUUCUGCCAUACUAAUUUCCAAUUAUCCCAGCAGUUUAAAAGAAGAUUUUUAAAAAGGUAAGUGAUCUCAGAAAGUCAUUAUGGUUUCACCAAGAACACAUUAUGCCAGACACUAUUCAGAUGUAUCAAAUUUAACUAACCUAUGCAUGCAAGUAUUAAAACUAAAUAACCAAAACUAUUCCUCCAAAGGGAAAAUGGUAAUGUGACAGAGAUAAUAGGUUAAAAUAAAAGUUGAAAUAUCAUCGGUAAAGGCAUAUUAUCUAUGUGUUCUAUCCAAAUUUAAAUUUUGUAGUUGUUUAUUAAAAUUUUUGUCUUCUAUAGCUUGAAUUGAAAUGACAAUUAUCAAUGAAAUUGAUUGUAUCCAAAGUGAAUUUUUUCACAGUGACAUUAAAGUUUCCUUCUUCCAAGAAGCAUUUCCUUAGAAUUCCAAUAGUGCAGUAUCCAUAAGAAUUGAUGUCACUGGUUUCCUUCACUUAUAGUUAACACUGUCUAGGAAACAGGGGGAAGUAAUUUAAAAGUGUAAAAGCAUCAAAAGAUGAUUAGGAUUUCAUUUUCUACCUUUGGGGAAUAAAAGCAGAAUUGGGAAUAUUGAAAACUUCAUAAAAGUUAGAUGUUAAAUAUCUUCUUUAAACUCUAAUCAGUAGAAAUUCCUUAGCUAUAAAAACUUUAGUCUGGGUAAGGCUAGAGCUAAAGUUUCAAUAUAUUCUGAAGAUUAUCUUUCAGAUAGGUGUUUAAUGUGCCCAUUAUCUUUGUUAGUAUUGGUAGAUAUGUUUUCAAGAAAGUCAAUUUAAUUGUGGUAAAGUCAUUCAUAACGUGACAAUUAAGGCAAAAUCACCUUUUGUAGAAGCACAUAGGUAUAUGACAUGGAAACAGAUUAGUAGAACUUAUUUUAUUACUAUUGUGAUAUUAAUACCACUCAAAACUCUUUUUCUUUUCUUUUCUUUUUUUUUUUUUUUGGUGUGUGUGUGUGUGUGUGUGUGUGGCAAUUGGGAUUAAGUGACUUUUUCAGGAUCACACACCUAGUAAAUAUUAAGUAUCUGAGGCUGAAAUUGAAUUCAGAUCCUCUUGACUCUGGGGCCAGUGCUCUAUCCACUGCACCAGCUCGUUGCCCCUACUCAAAAUAGUUUCAAAGAUAAUGUGAACAACUUACCAAUUACAUGUUGUGAUGUCAUUAACAUAUUUAGCAACAUAUGUUGUCAACAUGUUGUCAUAUGCAAUAACCUAUAUACAAGAUUGGCCUAAAACAUUCACUGUUUAAAAGAGAAAUAAGAGCGUCAGUUUUUUCAUCUGUUUUAAUAAGAAAUGAACUAGAAAAUUUCUCAAGUCCUUUUGAGUUUUAAAUACUAUAGACUUUAGGAGGAAACUAAUUGCCAGACAUUCUUUUUUUAUUUGGCCAUAUAUAGAAAACAUUUGUUUUAUUUAAAGAAAUCUGCUAAUUUAUGGGUAAGGCUUUCUUCUAAAUUUUUUUGCCCCUUCCCCCUUAUUCGAGCUCCUAGGCUACUGGAGAUAUAAAUUUGAACUUAUUUCACUUACUUCCUAUUUUUUGGUGAUUAAAAUUUUGCUAAGCCCUUACUGACUCUAAAGAGUACCUCUUUACCACUACACACCUUUCAGAUUGGCUAAGGUGACAGGAAAAAAUAAUGAUAAAUGUUGAAGGGGAUGUAGGAAAACUGGGACACUAAUAUGUUGUUGGAAUUGUGAACUUAUCCAAUCAUUCUCAAGAGCAAUUUGGAACUAUGCCCAAUAGACUAUCAAACCACACAUAUUCUUUGAUCCAGCAGUGACUCUACUGGGCCGAUAUCCCAAAGAGAUCAUAAAACAGGGAAAAAGACCCACAUAUGCAAAAAUGUUUGUGGCAGCCCUCUUUGUAGUGGCAACAAACUGGAAAUUGAGUGGAUGCCCAUCAACUGGACAAUGGCUGAAUAAGUUAUGAUAUAUGAAUGUUAUGGAAUAUUAUUGUUCUAUAAGAAGCAAUCAAUAGGAUGAUUUCCAAAAGACAUGGAGAGACUUAUAGUUAAGUGAAGUGAGUAGAACCAAGAGAACAUUGUACACAGCAACAACAAGAUUAUAUGAUCAAUUCUGACGGAUGUGGCUCUUUUCAACAAUGAGAUGAUUCAGGCCAAUUCCAAUAGGCUUGUGAUGGAGAGAGCUAUCUGCAUCCAGAAAGAGGCUGUGGGAACUGAAUAUGGACCACACCAUAGUAUUUUCACCUUUUUUUGUUGUUUACUUGCUUUUUGUUUUCUCAUUUUUUUUUACUUUUUGAUCUGAUUUUUCUUGUGUAGAAUAAUAAAUGUGGAAACAUGUAUAGAAGAAUUGCAAAUAUUUAACAUAUAUUGGAUUAUCUGCUGUCUAAGGGAGGGGGUACAGAAAGGUAGGAAGAAAAAUUUGGAACACAAGGUCAUGCAAGAUUAAAUGCUGAAAACUAUCUUUGCAUAUAUUUUGAAAAUAAAAGCUUUUUUUU